rnacentral:rRNA from 1 species
UACAGAGGGUGCAAGCGUUGUUCGGAAUUACUGGGCGUAAAGCGCGUGUAGGCGGUUUAAUAAGUCAGAUGUGAAAUCCCUCAGCUUAACUGAGGAACUGCAUCUGAUACUGUUAAACUUGAGUAUCGGAGGGGAUGGCGGAAUUCCUGGUGUAGAGGUGAAAUUCGUAGAUAUCAGGAGGAACACCUGUGGCGGAGGCGGCCAUCUGGAAGAUUACUGACGCUGAGACGCGAAAGCGUGGGGAGCAAACAGG